CUGCUACUGAGGAUUGAACCUAGGGAUGCUUAACCACUGGGCCACAUCCCCAGCCCUUUUCAUUUUGAGGCAGGGCCUCACUAAGUUGCUUAGGGCCUUGCUAAGUUGCUGAGGUUGGCUUUGAACUUUUGAACCUCCUGCCUCAGCCUUCUGAACCACUGGGAUUACAGGCGUGCACCACUGCAUCCAGUUUCGUGCAUAAAAUUAUUUAAAAUAUUGUGUAAAAUGACUUUCAAGCUAUGUGCAUAAGGUGUAUAUGCAACAUGUGAAUUUUGUGUUUAGACUUGGGUCCCAUUCUCACAAUAUCUCUUGCUGGGAAUAUAGCUCAGUUGGUAGAAUGCUUGCCUUGCAUGCACAAGGCCCUGGGGUUCAAUCUCCAGCACUACCAAACAACAAAACAAAACAAACAAACAAACACCCAAUAUCUUUUUAUAUAGACAUAUACAAAAAUCCACAAAUCUGAAAAAGUUCAACUCCCAAACCCUCCUGGUCCCAAGUAUUUUGGAUAAGGGACCAGCUUAUGCUUCCCUGGACUUGUCAAGUGUCCCUCCAUGAAGGCUCUGCUUUGGAGGACUCAUGUGGACAGCCGGAUGGUUGUUUCUCCCAAUUCUGUGAGGCUGUGUCUGUACCUGUCUCCCUGAGUCUCCUUGAUUGUUAGUUCCCCAUCGCUGUGAAAAAAUACCUGAGAUAAGGCUUAUGGUGGCUCACUGUCCUAGAGGUGUCAGCCCACGGUCACUUACCACGUCGCUUUGACCUGCAGUGGGCAGUGCAUUGUGGCCGACUUUACCCCAUGAUGACUGGGAAGCAAGGAGAGAGAUGGGAAAGGGGUGGGUCUCAGUGACCCAGGUUCCUUCCACUAGGCUCUGCCUCUCAAAGGUGCUACCACCUCCCUCCCCUGUUAGAGUCUGUAAACAAGUCAAAAUAACACCUGGCAUUUUGCCAGGGGAAUGUUAGAGUUCGUAAACAAGUCUGGAUGGUGCCUGGCAAAAUGCCAGAGGGAGUGGUUUGAGAAGUAACAAAAGCGAGCCAUUAAGUGUGGAGAUUCCUGAUUGGUUGACUGAUGUAUCUAUUUUAUGUUAAUUAGAUAAGCUGUGUGGAAUGUAUAAAUACCGCUCCUGUCCUGCAAUAAACGGCUUCCACUCCUG
rnacentral:lncRNA from 1 species